rnacentral:misc_RNA from 1 species
GAUGAAGAACGUAGCGAAAUGCGAUAAGUAAUGUGAAUUGCAGAAUUCAGUGAAUCAUCGAAUCUUUGAACGCAUCUUGCGCUCCUUGGUAUUCUGAGGAGCAUGCCUGUUUGAGUGUCAUUAAAUUCUCAACUACACUGACUUUGAAUUGGUGUGGCUUGGAUUUGGGGGGAAAAUUGUUGUGGGCUUUUUGUAUAGUCUGCUCCCCUGAAAUUGAUUAGCGGUACCUUUGUGGAACUGUCUACAGGUGUGAUAAUUAUCUACAUCUUAGACAUCUGCUGGAAUGCUGCUUUCUAAACCUUACUUGUAUUGACAAUCUUGACCUCAAAUCAGGUAGGACUACCCGCUGAACUUAAGCAUAUCAAUAAGCGGAUGA